rnacentral:rRNA from 1 species
GAUGAACGCUGGCGGCGUGCCUAAUACAUGCAAGUCGAGCGAACGGACGAGAAGCUUGCUUCUCUGAUGUUAGCGGCGGACGGGUGAGUAACACGUGGAUAACCUACCUAUAAUACUGGGAUAACUUCGGGAAACCGGAGCUAAUACCGGAUAAUAUUUUGAACCGCAUGGUUCAAAAGUGAAAGACGGUCUUGCUGUCACUUAUAGAUGGAUCCGCGCUGCAUUAGCUAGUUGGUAAGGUAACGGCUUACCAAGGCAACGAUGCAUAGCCGACCUGAGAGGGUGAUCGGCCACACUGGAACUGAGACGCGGUCCAGACUCCUACGGGAGGCAGCAGUAGGGAAUCUUCCGCGAUGGGCGAAAGCCUGACGGAGCAACGCCGCGUGAGUGAUGAAGGUCUUCGGAUCGUAAAACUCUGUUAUUAGGGAAGAACAUAUGUGUAAGUAACUGUGCACAUCUUGACGGUACCUAAUCAGAAAGCCACGGCUAACUACGUG